GCCUAGGGCCACACCAUCCUGGAAGCGCCCGAUCUCGUCUGCUCUCGGAAGCUAAGCAGGAUCGGGCCCGGUGAGUACUUGGAUGGGAGACCUGAGCACGGAAUUCGGUGGAUCUACAUU
ensembl:rRNA 5S_rRNA 5S ribosomal RNA